CAAUUAAGCAGCUAGCUACCUAAACCUCUGUAUCAAGAAAGAGAAGAGACAAUAUAUGAGAAACUGUUCAUCCAGUAGAUCCUCCGACCUCCGGUGAGUGGCUUCCGUGCUAUGCUUGUGAAGUGAGCAGUCUUUUUGCUGUCCACCUUUCUUUCGUUGUCUGUUCGACCUUUGAAACUACACUGUAUUCCUAAUCUAAUUACAUGCAACCAUCUUAAUUACCCACUUCAGAUCUGUUUCGUUUCUUUCUCCAAUUUCUAUUUAGUUUAAUUUAUGCUUAAUAAAUUCUAUAUACAUACAGUAACUAUCUUACCUUUAGUUAAUUGUGAAGGACUGGUAGUUGGUACCAAAUACUCUACUUUUAUCGUAUAUAUAUAUAUCAUCAUCAUCAGAUCAUAUCAUACAGGUUUAUCUUAUCAUUUAGGGCCGGUGGGAGGGUCCCAAUUUUGGUUGCAUUGCCCUCAAUCAUUUAGGCCGGGCAUAUAUAUAUAUAUAUAUAUAUUGUUCUGUUUAUUAUACAUAACAGAUAUUCCAUGGUCAUCUAUGUAUAAGAAUAUUUUAUUUAUUGGAUAAUGGAGUACAUUAUGGGUAUUGAGAUUGUAAAAUUACAACAAAUUUAUAGGAAUUCAUUGCAAAAUAUAUAAGAAUAUAGUAUAGUAUAGUGAGCAUCUAUAGUGUUAGUGUGAAAAAGGGAACAUGAUUUAAAGGUCAAACUGACGACGAAUGUGAGGUAUAACAAGCAAGGACUGCUAAUUUGCCAAGCUUUGCAUGGAAACCGACGCCUAUGUAUCAAUAUAAUAUAUUCAAAUGAUGCCGCACAGAUAUGAUCCAACAUGUAUAUUCCAUAAUAUAUAUGUUAGAUGCCUGCAAUUCAACAAGGUAUGUAAUUCUUCCCUUAUUUUGCAUAUUAUUAUAUCGCCACCAUGUAUCCCAUCCAUUUUGUUUCUGAUACAUGUAAUACCCAUGCGUGUGAUUUUGGUUCAAUUCGUUACAUAUAAUUAUUGUAUAUUAUUAUAAUAUUUGGUGACAUUAAAAUGAAUAUCAAAAUUGUAAUUUUAAUGUUUUUAUUUAUUUAUUUAUUUAUUUAUUUUUAUUCUAAUGUUUAUUAAGCGUAAAUACUAUAUUUCACUUUCCAUACACAAGUCUACUACUUCAACAGGAAAUGCUUCUCAAUCGUAUUGUUGUUAAGAAUACGAAGGGAUAGACACUUUUGUUUUUUUGCGAAGAGCGAGGGAAAAUCGUAGUAGUCCGUACUCGAUCGAGAGUAUACAUUGGAUAAAUCUCAUUCAUGUGUAAUAACUCACAAAAUACACAUUUAAAAAAAAAAAAAACUCACAAAAUU